CAAAUUUAAAAUCUACCUGGUUUCCAGGUCGAGUUGUAAUUUGAAGAUACGUUUUUGACGUUCCGGGUUGAACUAAAUCCUUUGGGAUAAGGUAUCAUGGAGGGUGAGAAUCCCGUAUAUACCAACCRUAGGGAUGUUAUUUAAUACGUUUCUAAGAGUCGAGUUGUUUGGGAAUGCAGCUCUAAAUGGGUGGUAAAUUUCACCUAAUGCUAAAUAUAAGCGAGAGACCGAUAGCGAACAAGUACAGUGAUGGAAAGAUGAAAAGAACUUUGAAAAGAGAGUUAAAUAGUAYGUGAAAUUGUUGAAAGGGAAACGAUUGAAGUCAGUCAUGCCGGUGGGAAUCAACUUWGAGGAAACUCUGAGUGCACUUCUUCGCUUGGCAGGUCAACGUCGAUUUUGGAUGUCAUAAAAUGAUUGGGGGAAGGUAGCUCYUUCGGGAGUGUUAUAGCCCUUGGUAGAUGUGAUGUCUGGGAUCGAGGAUUGCAAUGGAUACCCUUUGGGGCUAGCCGCCUGAUCUCUAAUUGGUAUUGGGUUACGGAUAGCAUGCUGACCGUGAUCUAAUUAUUGGUUAAAAGGUUAG
rnacentral:rRNA from 1 species